AGAGCUAUUUCUCUUAGACCAGGUGAUCUAUGAAUAAUAUUAAAGGAAUUAUUGAUCUAUUUAUCAUCAGCAUUUUAAUGUUAGGGGCUCGUGAUCUAGUUUUUCAAGAGAUGUACGCAGCAUCCCAUUGUGUUGAGUACUAUAUAAAUACACUGUGGACAGAGAAUAUGAUAGCUUCUUCCGACGCAGACAUCAAAACCAAUUCAUCACACAGACUCAGCUCAUAUCAAAAUGAAUCAAAUGUCUGCUUUUGUUUUCACGGAACAGUUCGAUAGCUCAAAAUACCCAAAAGAAACGUGGCUGUGCCAAUUUUUGAGUGUGAAUAGCAGGUCGGAGACAAAGGUGUACAAAAAUAGUACGGAACAUGCAGAUGUGAUCUGCUUGCAGGAAAACAAAGUUGCAAUUAAAGCUGCUGAUCAAUAUGAAAUAACCUGGUACAUUUCCUGGAGCCCCUGCGAUGAAUGCGCAUUAAAAAUAAUUGAAUUUCUGGAGCAGCACCCCAAUGUGAAGCUGAAUAUCUUCGUUUCCCGGCUCUACUACCAGGAUUUAGAAUCUCAUAGGGAUGGCUUAAGAGCUCUUUCACGACAAAAAAGAAUUGGCUUAAAAGUGAUGACGAAAGAUGAUUUCCAGCACUGUUUUGAUCACUUUGUUGGAGAAGGAAAUGGAAUUCAGAGCUGGGCAGACCUUGCUGGGAACUCAGCGAGAUAUGCGGCUAUACUGAAAGAGAUAACUGGCGCUGAUCCCAGACUGGCGUUUUGAAACGCCUCCCCUGUGCGCUGCGGCUGCCUGCAUGAAACACAGCAGCAGACUUCCACUGAGAAAGAGCAGCGGAACCGACAGCGCGGGACACGGGCGUGAUCCGGACAAGCAGCAAUCUGCACUCUCUGCAUCAUCUCUUAUUAUAGACCUCACUCUGUAGCUGCAACACCACACGCUUUAAUGACAGGCUUAGACACGCCUUCUUUCAACUGUCUUUUAUUCAAUUAAGUGUCAUUCAUACCUGUUAACGUGUGGGUGUCCUUUUUUAUGUGUGUAUUUUAAACAUUUUAUGGGGUUUUGAUCGAUUAUUUCACGCAAUUAAAUCUUUUGCAAAUGAUGGAAAACUAAAUCAUUGUUUGGAGAAAAAAAAAACUUGUCUUGUUUAUUCUCACCAUGAUAUUAAAACAUUCAAACUUCAAUUUUGAAUCUAUACCUGCAUGAAAAUAAAUCUGUUGGUUAGGGGGAAAUAUUAUUAUUAUUUUUUGUUGGGAUGAUAUAUGAACUUAGCAAAACAGAAGACAGGGAGCUAGCGCUCUUGUGGUUUAAAUAUGUCACCAGAAACCCUCGAUAGAAUUAUAGCCUUAUUAUGCAAAGUUGGGUGUACAUUAUUAUUAUUAUUAUUAUUAUUAUUAUUAUUAUUAUUAUUAUUAUUAUUAGACCAUCCAUUUUUGAUGUACACAAAAUGGUUUAAAUCACUGCUGUUGAAUUAGCAGACAACUGAUCUCCUGUCUAAUGCCCUUGAUAAUGCUAUGAGCCCUUGCUAUUAUAGACGAUACUGUAGCGCACAAACGCAUUGUUUCAAUAAAGAUAUUCUAUUGUUAGAUAAUAACCUGUCUACUGAUCUCAAUAGGUGUUUGCUGUGGUUUAAAAUUCAAUAAAGUUUUUUUUUCAA